rnacentral:rRNA from 1 species
GACGAACGCUGGCGGCGUGCUUAACACAUGCAAGUCGAACGGAAAGGCCCUGCUUUUGUGGGGUGCUCGAGUGGCGAACGGGUGUGUAACACGUGAGUAACCUCCCCUUGACUUUGGGAUAACUUCAGGAAACUGGGGCUAAUACCGGAUAGGAGCUCCUGCUGCAUGGUGGGGGUUGGAAAGUUUCGGCGGUUGGGGAUGGACUCGCGGCUUAUCAGCUUGUUGGGGGGGUAGUGGCUUACCAAGGCUUUGACGGGUAGCCGGCCUGAGAGGGUGACCGGCCACACUGGGACUGAGAUACGGCCCAGACUCCUACGGGAGGCAGCAGUGGGGAAUAUUGCACAAUGGGCGGAAGCCUGAUGCAGCAACGCCGCGUGCGGGAUGACGGCCUUCGGGUUGUAAACCGCUUUCGCCUGUGACGAAGCGUGAGUGACGGUAAUGGGUAAAGAAGCACCGGCUAACUACGUG